AUGUCUCUCCCUUGUCGGCGCAGAUGCGGGUGGAAUAUUGGCGGCGGCUCAGGCCAAGGCAAGGAGAACCAAGAUCUAGGUCGGUGCGCUCUUUUUGCCCUCUCCUUCCUCUCGUCUCCCUCCUCCGGCCGAGAUCUGGGGCGGCACACACCAUGGCCGGAGCAGUUCCUCACGUCCUCAGCCGCCCCUCCUCGAUGAUUGUUGCUUCAGGAGCUGCACUGAUCGACCUCUUUCUCCUCCUACUACCUGCUCGACAGUUGAAGCACGAACAUCUGGUACAGGAUGUCCGCCCAGGUGUUCGAUGAAAUUCCAAAAAGGUUUCGGGAGGAUUGAUCUCUGUAAGCUAUCAUCAGUAAUCACAUGCAAGCGUGCAUGCCCAAAAAGGAGAGAGAGCUAGCCUGCUAUAGUGUUAGACAUCUUCUGGAUAUAUAUAGCUGUCUUAAUGUAUCCAUGGAUUUUUGAACGCCUAUAUUUUUCAGAAUGGUAACAAGGCCUUUUGAAGUUUUUAGUCUGGAUUGGCUGCAUGCAUUCUGAAGACUCAGGGAAACACGAAGGAGCACUGCCAAAUGGAUGAUUUUUCUUGGGACUCUUGUGCGGUUCAAACAGCUCUAAAAAUUGUACCUAUUUAGUAAGUCCUAAAGAGAAUAUUCUUUCGAGGUGUUUAUUCUUAUUGUCGUGUGAAAAUUGGAUCGUGUGGUGCAUAUUUCAAAGAAAUAGAGGUUCUGCUCGACAAGAUCUUGAUGCUCAAGCUGGAAAGUGGUUCAUAUUACAACCAGAUCAUACUGAAGUUCAGGAAGUGGCUGCAUGAGGUGUGUUGUGUUCUUGUUUUCCCUGGGAGCAGAACAUGACCGCGUGUGUCAUUGGGUGAUCCAAUCUGGUCAAGAUCUCUGUGCAGCUUGGUAAUUCAGGUACCGAAGCUUUGGGACAUUCACUGCGAUGAGAUGGCUUAUUAUGUGAGAACUCUCUACUCAUUUGCCUUUUAUUCUUGGUAUGCUCUGUUUGUUUUGGCCCACGCGGUGGUUGAAUGGA